rnacentral:rRNA from 1 species
GACGAACGCUGGCGGCGUGCUUAACACAUGCAAGUCGAACGAAGUGGCGAACGGGUGAGUAAUACGUGGGUAACCUGCCCUCCUUUUUGGGAUAAGCCUUGGAAACGGGGUCUAAUACCGAAUAAAGGGGGAUGGGCUCGCGGCUUAUCAGCUUGUUGGUGGGGUGAUGGCCUACCAAGGCGGUGACGGGUAGACGGCAUGAGAGGGUGAACGGCCACAUUGGGACUGAGAAACGGCCCAGCUGCCUACGGGAGGGAGCAUGGGGGGAUAUUGCAUAAUGGGCGAAAGCCCGAUGCCGCGACGCCGCGUGGGGGAUGAAGGCUUUUGGGUUGUAAAAGUAUUUCGCUAGCGAACGGGUAGGUGGAGAAGAAGCACCGGCUAACUACGUGCCAGAAGCCGCGGUAAUUC